UACGUAGGGUGCAAGCGUUGUCCGGAAUUAUUGGGCGUAAAGAGCUCGUAGGCGGUUUGUCGCGUCGAAUGUGAAAACCCGGGGCUCAACUCCGGGUCUGCAGUGGGUACGGGCAGACUAGAGUGCGGUAGGGGAGACUGGAAUUCCUGGUGUAGCGGUGAAAUGCGCAGAUAUCAGGAGGAACACCGGUGGCGAAGGCGGGUCUCUGGGCCGUAACUGACGCUGAGGAGCGAAAGCGUGGGGAGCGAACAGG
rnacentral:rRNA from 1 species